rnacentral:rRNA from 1 species
AGUGGCGGACGGGUGAGUAACGCGUGAGAAUCUGCCUUGGGGUCGGGGACAACCACUGGAAACGGUGGCUAAUACCGGAUACGCCUUCGGGUAAAAGAUUUAUUGCCCUAAGAGGAGCUCGCGUCUGAUUAGCUAGUUGGUGAGGUAAGAGCUCACCAAGGCAGCGAUCAGUAGCUGGUCUGAGAGGACGAUCAGCCACACUGGGACUGAGACACGGCCCAGACUCCUACGGGAGGCAGCAGUGGGGAUUUUCCGCAAUGGGCGAAAGCCUGACGGAGCAAGACCGCGUGAGGGAGGAAGGCUCUUGGGUUGUAAACCUCUUUUCUCAGGGAAGAAGCUCUGACGGUACCUGAGGAAUCAGCCUCGGCUAACUCCGUGCCAGCAGCCGCGGUAAUACGGAGGAGGCAAGCGUUAUCCGGAAUUAUUGGGCGUAAAGCGUCCGCAGGUGGCGAUUCAAGUCUGCUGUCAAAGCACGGGGCUUAACUCCGUAAAGGCAGUGGAAACUGAAUAGCUAGAGUGCCGUAGGGGUAGAGGGAAUUCCCGGUGUAGCGGUGAAAUGCGUAGAGAUCGGGAAGAACAUCGGUGGCGAAAGCGCUCUACUGGACGGCAACUGACACUCAGGGACGAAAGCUAGGGGAGCGAAUGGGAUUAGAUACCCC